rnacentral:lncRNA from 1 species
CUGGAAUUAGAAUACCAACGACGUUUAAGGCCGACUUUCUCCGAAACCACCAAUCGCCAACAGAGUUCACUCAAAACACCCACUAUAUAUACAACGGCUCAUUUGAUUGGAUAUUAUCCAAGCGAUAUUUAAAUAUUUCACAUAAAUUUUCCUAGUUGAAUAGAGGGUUUUUAGCUAUGGCAGAAAAUGGGCGAAAAAUUUUAGUAGCAAUCGAUGAAGGAGAUGAAAGCAUGUACGCACUCACAUGGUGUCUCAACAAUGUUAUUAGUGAGCAUUCCAAAGAUACCCUUAUCCUCUGCUACGUCAAACCACCUCGAGCUGUCUCCACAGCCAUGGAGGGAACAGGUAAAAUUGUGCAGGAUUGGCAUUUUUUGAAAUGGAUAUAUGAAGGGGGGUAAUGUAAUGUAAUUUUUUUAAAAUUAUGCAGUAUGGGCAUUUUCUCCUGAUGUAAUGGCGAGCAUCGAGAGGUACAGCAAUGGUGUGGCUCAGUGCGUGAUUGACAAGGCGAAAAGAGCUUGCAAGCACUUGAAUGAUGUGAGUUUGGUAAAUUUGCGAUUUCUUCAAGGGUAAAACAGUCAUUUAGAAAAUAAUAGUACUAUGUGGUUUGGUGCGUGUAGGUUAAAGUGGAGAUAGCGGUGGAGCAGGGAGAUCCAAGGGACAUGAUUUGUGAAGUGGCUGAGAAAUUGAAUGUGGA